CAGACUGCGACCACGCUCGGUUUCCCUGGAUAUGUUGAUCAGUUCAGGUUGUUGCUUCUGAUGGAUUGUCUUGUUCCUGUGUGUCGCCCUGAGCAGGCCAUGAGAGGCCAGGAGAGAGGGAGCACCUGCUGGGGGCCUGGGACUACUUUAGGCCCUCCCCCGAAUCAUGACAGGUAGACAGAUGAGACUGCUCACCUGUGUAAACAAAGGGUUUCUCAACAACUUUGGGUGCCAAGUAACCUUAACCUCAGUGUUGUAAAGAGCUUAGCCCCAACGAAAAGUAGCUACUAAGAAUCCUCAAGAACAGAACAGCAGUUUAAGAAAUGACAACGCUCCUGACCUCCAAAGAACAAAACAGUAGAAAUCUGGGAUUAUACAUGCUCAUGAGAAGCCUUAUACUGCAUCACAAUGCAUCAUACCUGCAGGCUUUUGUGACCGAAAACAAUAUUUCUCUCUAUCUCCCUCUAUUCAAGCCGACCCAGGUGAGAACAGCUUGUGCUCAUCACCAUGUUGUCUUUCCGGUUGCAGCCUUUCAGGGGAGCAAAAUAGGACAGUAGGCUGCAUCCUGUUUGUGAGCUGUUAGGUGCAUACAUACAUUGUACAGGCAUCGCAAACGUGCACAUCAGGAAGUGGUUGUUCAUAUGCACACGCGGGAACACACACACACAAAACCACAAACGGCAGAGUUGAGCGUGUGCUUGGCUCAGUGGUGCAAGACUCUUUGAAACUUGGUGACAAGAAGAUGCGUUCCAUAAUGGGAUGUGGACAUGACUUACCAUUAUACUGACAUGAUGGAAAUUAAUAACUACAGUAGGAGCAAUGAACACCUACAGUGCCUGUGGGACCAGUUUCCCUACCUACAUUUCUCAGCCAUCAACACUUUCAAUUAAAUAUCACCUUUGAAAAUGCUUCUUAUCUCCUCUGCAAAAACCUCAAAAUGAAUGACAGAUUUCUUGAGUGUUCGAAUACUCAUACUAACUGCACUAACUGUACUAUUUGUGAUGUGAAUUGAGUAAACUGACAAAUGUUAAGAAAAUGUUGAGCAAUGUAAUAAAGUAAUGACUUUUCAAAUCAGUUAUGUUACAUGUUAUGUUAGCCGACAAUUUGUUAGCUACGCUAUCCUUACGAACCGCUUAGCAUUACAGCAGUAUGUUAGCUAGUUACCUGAUGUUACAUCAAACUUGACAGGUAGUAUAUUAUCUAACUAACUAACCAACAUUAAUUGACUUGAUUAUUCACAUUAUUCUUAGCUAAUUUGGCUAUCUACUCCAAUUUCAUAGCCCUCUCGUGCACCAUUGACUAUGGCCGGUGUCAGUAAACAUCCUAAAAAAAACUGCAUAAAUUGUUGCCAGCAGCACAGUUACAGUCACCAACGCUCUGUAUAACAUGAAAAUAGCCUCACCAGCUCUGUUAUGGUGAGGAAAAUGGUAAGAGUGAGGUGUUCUUUCAUUUGUGUCUGGAAGUAACUAGCCAACACUAGCCAGUUAGCUUGGAUGCUUGACUGUCAUUGAACACUCAGAUCAAUCCUACUCCUCUGCCAGAGGGUCCAGUGUGUGUUCUGAACCCUCCGAGAACCAAACACUCUGAAUUUACAAUCUGACAACGCUCUGGGUUUACGAAUGCCCAGAGCGCACUCUGGCACUGCAGAUUAAAUUUACGAACAUACUGAAAUCGUAAAAUGUUUAGCUAGUAAUUUCUUAAGCUAACAAGGUAGCUAGAGGUUGCAUAGCAACAGCAUCAACUUCGGUAGACAGGCGAAGUUCUAGUACACUCAACUGAAACGAUACUGUUCGUUUACAGUAUACUAAAAUGCGAAGGUCAAGUGAAGGUUGAAGAUAUGGGAGCACACUCGUUCAGUUCGCCUAGCCGAGUUCAGCCGAACCGAAGCAUGCGUAAACCUUUAGUCCAGGACAAGCCUUAAUCUGUGUCUGGGAACCCGGCACUUAGGUUUCUUCUGUCAGCAGUAGCCUCACCCGAAAGCCUAGAAAGAGUUUGCCUGAUAGCAGGCUUAAGUUGCACAACAGCCAGGUAGACUGUGUAAUAGUUCUAUCAGUGGUUGGUUCUCCAUCUCUGUUUGGGAAAGGAGGGAAAGCAAACAGUGAGUGCUAUUUCCACUUAACUCUGGUCCCAGCUGAGUGAGAGUAUCAAGGCAACUUACGUGUGUGUGUGAUUAUGGAAGGGGUAAUCAUCACCCACCUUAGGAAGGCCUGCAGUGGAAUAAUGAAUGAAUGAGGGGUAGGGUUUGGAUUACAGGGGCUAUCCAGAGGCACGUUUAUGAUUGAACAGAAUGUUGCCAGAGCACUGUGACUAUUUCAUCAGCCCUGUUGAACUAGGUGAACAGUCAAAGACAGAAACGGUGUGAGGGUAGAGUAGACGAAUUAACCACAAUUCAUACUGUGCUCACUGCUACAUAGCCUACUUCAAUAUACAAUGUUUAUUCUCUAGCUAAAGAUCUCACCCGAUUCUUCUCAAGCUAGACCUCGGAUGUGUCCCAAUUGAACCCAUAGAACCCUGGUCAAAAGUAGUGCACUAUGUAGGGAAUAGGGUGCCAUUUGGGAUGUAGAUCGUCUAGGCUACAUUGCUGUUCCAGGGAAAUGGACUAUGGGAACUAGAGACAUGGCCAGGUUCUUUAUCUAUUAACGUUUGUAUCUCUGUGAUCCUCAGUGUCAGAUUUAGACUGAUAACAGGUCAUUAAAACAACUGACUGACCCUGUAGAUGUAGCUUAGUCAAUCCUCUGCCCUGCGCACACACACACGCAUACACACACACACACCUAUUAUGUACAGCAGGCUUAUGACUGACACAUUGCUUACCUUAGUCAUGCGCACAUUAGCUAGCAGGAUCUAGUGUCACAUGCUUUUUCAGACGAAGUGUUCACCCUUGACCUAAAAAAAGAGAGAAAGAAAACAUAUGCUGGGUGAGAAGAGCAGAACUGGGUUCAAAUACUAUUGGAAAUCUUUAAACAACUUUUGAGCAUUGGUUUUAGCCUGUCUGGAGUGUCAGGUGUGCAGGGUUUGCACUUUUGGGACUUUUCUAUUGUUUACAUUGCAACAGGCAAGCUCAAUCAAGCUCAGCUAAAGAAUUUGAAAUUAUUUCAAAAUGGUAUAUGAACACAGAUCUUGAAGUGUGACAGCGAGCGAGAGGUGGGGAGGUUUACAUGGGCCCUGAGUGAGAGACUAAUGGCUGCCUGACAGGUUGUGGAAACACACCCAGACACUAACGAGUGACACAACACUUACACUUGACUUAGUAGUCCUAGUUCUAUCACAAGGAGGCAGGCAUGGGAAUGCAGAGGACAGACGAGGAAUAAGAUAACGUAACCAAUUCAUUAGCAGAUAUGAAGGAACAGACAAUUAUAUUGGUCUCAAUGUAUUUCCAAGCCCUUUGUGAGAUAGUAGUGUCUUAUUCGUCCCUGGUUUCUCAGUUGUGUUCUUCACCAUCUGUUUCCUGAAGACAUCGAUACAUAGAGGCAGCAUGUAACAGCGUAUGGGAACAGUUUAGCAGUCAGGGUGAUUAUUUAAAUAACCACAUUCACACACACAUACACACACCCUAAAUAAAUGAAGCCUUUAGAUAUAAACAACAGACACUGUAGAAGAUGACAUCACAGGUCACGUUAGAGUUACAACUGUAGUCAAAUGACCUAGUGGCCUCGUGGAUGGAAUGUAAUUCAUAUUUUUUUUAAUAAUUAAUCAAAAUAAAAAUCUCUGAAAAUCUGAUGUUUCUAUGUCAAACAGGUUUAGUUAUAUUACAGUCUUCUGUGAUGUUGUCACGUUCUGACCUUUUAUUUAGGUCUUUGUUUUAAUAUGGUCAGGGCGUGAGUUGGGUGGGUUGUCUAUGCUCGUUUUUCUAUGUUGUGUUUUGAGUUCGGCCUGGUAUGGUUCUCAAUCAGAGACAGGUCGUUAGUUGUCUCUGAUUGAGAAUCAUACUAUGGUAGCAUUUUUCCAACUGUGUUUCGUGGGUGUUUAUUUUCUGUGUCUGUGUGUUCCACACGGAACUGUUUCGGUUGAUAUUUUCACGUGUCGUUUAUUGUUUUGUUUCAGUGUUCGCUUGUUGUAAUAAAUAAUAUGAACACGUA